UUGAAAGGGAAACGAUUGAAGUCAGUCGUACCUAUGGGUAUCAGCCUUUUGGGUGUGAUUUUGUGGAGCGUGAGGAGUUAAACGCCUUCAUGCCUGCAUAUUCGUGCACUUUGGGUGUACUUGCCCGUAUGGUUGGUUAACAUCAAUUUUGGUGGUCAUAAAAUGACUGGAGGAAUGUAGCUUCGAUCUUGUAUUGAAGUGUUAUAGCCUUCGGUAGAUGUGAUGAUCGAGAUUGAGGAUUGCAACGGAUACCCUUCGGGGCUACCUGUCUGGUCUCUGAUCGUUGCUCUGGUGCCGAAAGCUUGCUUACGGUUAUCAAAGUCGAUGGUCAAUAGGUUAGAACGGGUUAAAUUCGUUAAGGAUGUUGACGUA
rnacentral:rRNA from 1 species